rnacentral:rRNA from 1 species
GACGAACGCUGGCGGCGUGCUUAACACAUGCAAGUCGAACGGAAAGGCCCCUUUGGGGGUACUCGAGUGGCGAACGGGUGAGUAACACGUGAGUAACCUGCCCUUGACUUCGGGAUAACUUCAGGAAACUGGGGCUAAUACCGGAUAGGAAUCCUUGCUGCAUGGGGGGGGUUGGAAAGCUUCGGCGGUUUUGGAUGGACUCGCGGCGUAUUAGCUUGUUGGUGGGGUAGUGGCUUACCAAGGCUUUGAAGGGUAGCCGGCCUGAGAGGGCGAGCGGCCACAUUGGGACUGAGGUACGGCCCAGACUCCGACGGGAGGCAGCAGUGGGGAAUAUUGCACAAUGGGCGGAAGCCUGAUGCAGCAACGCCGCGUGCGGGAUGACGGCCUUCGGGUUGUAAACCGCUUUCAGCAGGGGCGAAGCUUGUGGUGACGGUACCUGCAGAAGAAGCACCGGCUAACUACGUG